UUAUUUUGCUACACUAGCAGAACAGAAGCACCAGAGAUGUUAAUGUUUUAACGAUACUGUUAUUGAUUUCAACUGUUCUAAUCUAUUUGGAGAAAAGAAGUAGAGAGAUAUUGGAAAUAUAGGGUUUGAGUGUUUGAUAGUGUGUGGUUCUAAUGUAUCAGCGAGAUGCAACAAGCUAACGUGAUGGACAUAUGUGAUGAUGUACUGUGCAGUUGGAACUAAUCUUCUCAAGGAUAAUUCACACAUUCAGAUACAGAACACUUGAAAGCGAUUCAACAAGAGAGGACUUGUUGGAGCCCUGGGAGAGACUGAGCUUGGCUUAAAAGGACAACUGUGAGGUGGCUGAGAUGAGAUGGAUCUCACAGACAGACUGUCCUACUACUCUGGAGCGCUGCACGUCUAGGUGCCGCACGUCUACAGGAUGCUGAGUUCCUGUGAGCUGGACUGAUUUGAGUCCUGAUGAUUCUGCAAUGUGAUGGAGAAGGCAACCUCCGACCGAGAGGAUGGAGGCGUAGGAAAGAUCUACUGCACAACAUCAUGCUACGCUGAUUGGGUCCAUACCAGGUACAUCUCAUCUGCUGUCCAGGUAGCUGAGAGAGGAACCUGGGGUCGACGACACGCUACACGAGGAUUGCAGUGUUUGAAGUCACUGAGGGAAAAGUGAAUUUUCUGGUGCUAGUAACCAGUCACUUUCUACAUGGCCUUUAGCUCUAGAACCUUUAGCUAAAACUGGUCAUCUUGGAGUUCACAAAGGAGAACACACAGAUUCU
ensembl:lncRNA